rnacentral:misc_RNA from 1 species
GCCUCCUUCCGUUUUCCUUAAGCUAAUACCUUCUUUACUUGGAGCUGGUAAGCUGCUCAAAGAUUUAUCCGAUGGAAGAACUAUUUGGAUCGACACUUUAGAGUUUUCAGCAUCAAAUGCCUGAGUGAAGACAGGAGUAGUCAUCGGUAUCUUCUCCGUUGUAGCAUUCUUUCCAAAUAUGUACCCGGCAACAUCAUUGAAACCUCUAUUUCCUGCGAGAUUGUCGCCUUCUGUUUCUACAACUAUGAAAGGAUCAUACUUCCUUACCUCAUAAGCUGCUGUUCUUCUUAGUAUUUGAUAGGCG